GCAGGAUGAUUCGUCCGUUUUCGGUCGUCGACUUGGCCGUUCCAUUGCUCGUAUUACCAGGUAACGGCUGCUGAUUGACGGGCUUGUGAUGUUUGUGAUAAGGAACUGAAACCGAUACGCUGCGCAGGGGACACCCGUGUAGCAGGCGGGCGGCAAGGUGGUGUAGGCGUACAUAGCAUGAGGACACCGUUGGGUGGUGUGGGUGCAUUUAUCAACUGACAACGUUCUACUUCCAGUCAUGGAUUCUGAUGCCAUUUCACCGUACAUUGCAGCGCCACUGCCCGGUUUUUGCUGAAUAUCUUCACGAUCUGUAGGCGCAUCGACCAGCGGCAAUAAGGUUCGGCCGCCUUGCACCAAUCUCAGCUGAUCUGUUGACAAACAAUUUGAGAGCGAUUUCAUUUGGUGUAUCGAGAAAAUCAAAUCGCCUUACUGUAAAGGUAAACUUCAAGUUGUUGGAAGGAAUACGAUCCGUCGUAAGGACGUAGUCCGACAGUGACGGCAUCUUUACGGAACCCAUCAAUCAGCCGUUUGGCAAAGACCUGCUCGUUAGCCUGUCCGAUGCGAAUUUGCAUUUGCUUCAAAUCCAGCAAUUGUUGGAAUAUUUUCCUCUCCAAAUUGUACCUUUUUGUUGGGAGGGUGUAAAAGAGAAAUCGUUGAACUUCAUCAAGAGCGUCAUGUCAGUGAAAUCGUUUGAGACCUUCGUGUUUUGGCUUGGGCCGCGCGGACGACAGAAAUGGGAAUUUCCGCUUUGUACUUGACGCGUUCGUUCGCGUUGGUCGUUGCCGGUGGAUUGGGGGAGGAGCCGUCGUUUUCUGCCUGCCGUUCGGAUUUGGUCCGUCGCAAGAGGAGAAACGUCCGUUUCCUAUUCGAUUCGACGUCAUCCAUCAACGGCGAAUGGGUCGUCGUUUGAUUAUUCAAACUACCCGACGAUCGAUUGGAAUUGAUUUCGUUCAGGUUGUUGCCCUGAAUCAUGUCGUCCUGCGGCCGCUCGGAUGAAGGCGGAGGUGACAUGCGGAUGUGUUCCAGCAUGGCAGCCGAAUCUGUCCGCCGGACCACGGCGGACGCAUUCGCCUUGGUGUCUUCUUCCGAACGGCCGAGCAAGUCACUGAAACCGGAAUCCUUUUGACCGGAGCUCUCCGUCCCAACGUUGGACAGGAUGGAUUGCGAUCGGACGGCCAAAUCGCAGACUAUUUCAUUCAAUUUGACUAUUGGCUCUAAAUGGACCGUGUCGAUGUUGUUCAAUCGGCUGGUGCUGCCCUUGUCUCGUCCGCUUCCAUCGCCACCACUUGCGCCUGUGCCGGCAGCGCCACCGUCGGACACGUACUGCGACAGAUUGGGCCUCUGCUGCUGGUGAUACCGAGAUCCGGUGAGCUGUUGCUCGUCGUCGCUUUCCGAUCCGGAAUCAUCCGAGUAGCGCUGACGAGAUUUCCAUCGAAGUUCCUCGUCGUUGGGUGGCGGCCGAGGAUCCGUCAGCGAUCGCCUCUGUUGUGCUCGACGUCUGAUCCUUCUACGUCGCAAUCCGCUCUCCGUUUCGCCCAGUCUCAUAUCAGCGCUCGAUAGCUGGACCUGUUGGGGGUUUUCAAAAUUGUACUUAAAUUUCAAUCAGAAUUAAAAUUUAAAAAAAAAGAGUUGACCUCUGCCCCGUCCCUAUUUUCGCUGAAAAAAGAUUCUUCCACUUGGGUUUGAGUGGCGCUGUCUUCCAAUCGACUCACUGUCCGGCUCUUAUGGCCAGCCAAAUGCGGCAGGUGAAUCAUGGAGGAUCUCCCCGACAUUUGGCUGUCGGUCGGAUAAUCCAUCAUCUCGGCGUGAUUAUGAACCACAACAGACACUCGCCGCUGAUUCUCCGUGUACGCCCUGGACCAUUCAAUGAUGAAGUAUUUUCAAACACAAAAACAAGAAAGAAUUGAGUACUGGCUGAGGGCACGUUGCAAGGCCCGACUGUCUGUGAGUUUGGCGGCGGCCAACCCACCGUGCAGCUGAAGGAAUUUGGCGCAGCCUCGGUUGCCUCGACGCAGGGCCGCGUCCAGUGGCGUAAUCAAUUGCCCUCUGGCCGUCCGCAUGAUGCAAUUGAUUUCGGCUCCGUGAUCAAUCAAUAUCUGUCAAUUACAGCCGCCGAGAAAUAAUUUCGUUAAGAUUUGCAACGAAUCGACAAACAAAUGAAUGCACAACAAUAACAAACUUGGGUUCGCAUGCAACCGGACAUGAAAUAAUUGUUCAAAAGCAACGGCGGAUUGUGACUGUACGGCCAAUCCAAAUCCAAAAUGUAGUCGAUACGGAGGGAGUACUACGACUAAUAUUGCGCUCGUCAUUGAUGUCAAACAACAACGAGCGAGUAAUGAGAGACGGCGGUUCCUAUUUUUAUUUUUUAAACCCGCCCUUCUAAUGAUUGCCCUAUAUGCAAGAAUUGCGUGUGCAACGUUGCCGACGAACCCGAUGACUGGACAUGUACGGACAAUCUAUUGCCGUAUACGGUUUCCUCAAACUAUCGACAAUAAUGGGGGUAAAAAAGAAAAAAGGGGGAGGGGAUAGAUGCCAACUUGAAUAAUCCCGGCUGCUAUUCAUAGAACUAAUGAGGCACUUGAUUGGGAAAAAUCAAUACGUUACGCAAGUGAUUGAAAAGCCGUGCGUAAUGCGAAACGUACCUUGCACAUUUCCACGUUGUUAUUGAUAGCGGCGAUGUGCAAUGGACUUCGGCCGUCGUUAUUGACCACGUGAGCUCCGCUCAUGGCCAUCCCGCUGACGACCGAACUGCUCCCGCACGCCGAUUGAUCUCCAAAUUGCUGCUGCUGCUGCCAUUGGCGCAGGAUCCACAAAACGAGAUCUUUGCGACCGCAGGCCACAGCCUCGUGCAGUGGCACGUCCCCUUUGGUGCUCCGUAUCCACAGAUCGGCUUGAUGCUGGACAAGCAGCCGCAAGGUUUCCGUCUGUCCUUUGGUCGCUCCGCAAUAAGCCGGUCUGCAUUAAUGAUGAAAAACAAUUUGAAUCAUGGAUCAUUUGAACUAUCUUUAAAAUGUCAGCGGAACAGUUGAACAAUUACGUUCUCCCUUUUUUGUCCUGGUGAUUGGGAUUGGCUCCGCAGUCGAGCAAAAGCUGGGCGCAAUCGGCGUGACCGAGCGUGACGGCGUAGAAAAGGGCGGUGCAGCCGUUGGCGUCGAGCAGAUCCACUUCGGCACCGCAGAGCGCCACCAGCGUCUCCAAACAAUCGCUGUGCCCUCGGCUGGCCGCGCAAUGCAGAGCUGCAACCCAAAAUCGACAACUCGCCAUCAGGAGAAAUGUUCAAUAAAUGCGACAGGAUACACGACAAUCAUCAGCAUCGAACGUAUCUGGCCUACACAUCCUAUAUCAUAUUACUAGAUGUGACAUGGCACGAUAAAAACAAAACAACAAAAUAAAUAAAAAAAAAGAGUUGUCCCUAUUAUUCAGCGUAUCGUUUUUGGCGGAAGAGAACACGGACAUUUCACAUCAUCCACGGGAAAUGCAAAGGUUUUAUUCCCGCGUGCACCAACCGCCACCCUGUCCAUCCGAUCCGACUGUGCCUCAAUCGCUACGGGGCCCUGCCAAAGCGAACGAGACACGAGCAAAGUACUAGCGCAUCAUUACGACAAUUGCUUACAUGGAAAGGCAGUGCGAUUCUUGCGGCUAUUUGGCAAAAAUAUGUUUCUAGACAUCAAUUCGGAAAAAGGAAAGACAUGGGUGCUAAUAAAAAUGAACCGCUCUCUUCCGUGCGGCGGACGGUGAUGUAAACAAGUCCGUCCCUUUUAAAAACAACCGUCUUUUCGAAAUUGAAAUGACCGCAGCAAGGGACACGAGGACGCUGAACGCGUGACUCACGAUGCCAGGAUAGACCAAGGACAUUAUCCACUUAAGAGCUCUUCUGCCUCUCUGUGUGUGCUCUUGCGAUCGAAUUUUACGAUCCGCACAUAAAAACAGCAACUCAAGGUCGACGUCCCGACUGUUAAAACCUUUGAUUUCGGUUAACGUUGUUAACGACGUUACAAAGAAAAGCUUUAAAAUCAAAACAAUAAAGUCAGAAGUAAAAGAUUGUUUGUGUGUACCGGUAAGUCCGUCCUUAUCGGCGGCCAUGACGGAAGCCCCCGCAUUGGACAAGGCUAAAAUGGCAUCCGCACUACCUGUACAAAAAACAUCAAUAACAAAACAACAUGGUUAUACACACACACACACACACACACUUAGUCAUUAAUUUGAUGGACGUCAAAAUGGGUUCCGUUCCUUGGCGCACUUACGGUCUAACCCCGCCCGCAGAGCAAACAGCAAACCGGCCAUUACGCAGUUUGUGAAAGGCUAGUACGGGCCCUUAUCAUCCAACACAUCAAUCGAUAACACCCCUUCCCUUCCGUCCCAUUUCUUUUUUUUUCUUUCUUCCUCUUUAAAAAAUAAGAACCGAAAGGAAUCAAAUAAGAUGCAACGACUCCAAAACAUUUUCAUCAACGGCCCCAAAUGUUUUGAAUUGCAAAAAAAAAAAUAAAAAAUGGCUACACAAACCCAACAGGUCAUUUACAUAAAUGUAAAUCUACUAGCCAGAUGAAAAAGUUUGCUUUCAAAGUUGUGGUCAUGCGGAAUACGGACGCACGUUACCAAGUACAGCGUAAAAGAUAUACCAGAACUAGCGGCCCAGAGGAGAGGUUGGCGUCCGUCACGAUCGAUGACGUCCACUGGCACGCCAUGGUUGAUGAGUUUCUUCAGAGCUGAAAGGCCCGUGUACCUUUGGCUGCUGCCUGGCCCACCCAAAGGGCCGCCCGCGCUGCCCGAUCCAAUCAUUUUCUUGCUGUUGCCGCACAUUUGCGCUGCGUAAUGGAUCGGAUAAGCCCCGUGAAUGUCUUCGACCGAGGCCUCCGCUCCGGCUUCCAGGAUGACAUCCAGAGCUUCCAAUUCUCCGCAAACGGUGGCCCAGUGGACGACCGAAUGGCGUUCGUUGUCCAGCAAAUUGACUUCGGCCCCGUGGUCGAGCAAGUACCUCAACAUGGUGCGAUUGCCGGCGAUAACGGCCAAAUGCAGCGGAGUGUAACCUUCCUCGUCCGGCUGAUUGAUGAGCGCUGGAUUGGCUUUAAGUAACAACUGGGCAGCAUCGACCGUCGUGUUUUCGGCGCAAUAGUGCAACGCUGUUUUGCCCGUCCUAUCGCUCUCUUUCACGCACAUUGGCUAUACGCGAUUAUUUAAAAAAAUGUGCGAAAACAAAUGAAAUGCCAAUGAUUGAUUUGAAUACGUAAUGCGAUGUACCUUGCGCUGGAUGAGGUGGCGAAUUUGUUGGGUAUCGCCUUGUUGGCAGCUGUACAUCAGCGGCGAAACGCCUUCCAUCGAAGCCCUCGAGGGCCUCGGCGCACUUAUUCGGCUAAUUGGAUUCAUCGUCCUAUUCGUGAAAUGGCGUUACUUAUUGACUGACUCUUUGUUUUUUUGGUAACAACAAUUUUUCAUCCCCGAAAGUCGAUUGGAUAAAGCAAUCAAACGCGCUACAACAACUCUAGGGGUGGAUCGAUAAGGAAAACAAGGUCGAUAGUUUUACGGGUUUUUUUGCUUCUCUUGUCCAGUGAGUCGAAAUGCCGGAUUGCCCUCUGCGACACCAACAAACGCACGACUGUCAAAAUUAUCGUUGAUGUUCGCCCGAUGUACGCAUAAAAAAAGAGACCCUCUGACGAAUGGAACAAAAAAAAUAAAUUCUUUUCGCGGUCAUGCCGGACAAAACAAAUGGCCGAUUGCUCGACACACACACACACGACGUACAUAACGCAGCGUGACACAAACCGAUUUAUCGAUCUGAUUGUUUGUUUGUGUUUGCUUCAGUUAGCAAUAUCUAUGGACAUACCCAUCCCCUACUUUUUUUUUACUAUUCCAGGUUAUUUGUUUUGUUUUCGCCAUCGUAAAUCGCGUUCCGGGCUACUCUUUUUUUUUCUUUUCUUGCCAGGCCCAUCACAAAUUAUUCGUGUGACACGUAAUAGCACGUUUUUGGCUUUUUCUUAUGGCUUCGUCCCACCAUUUGGGCUGAUCAAACUUUAACCGAUUACACCGUUUCUAUUAAAUUGUUUAAUAAUAAUAAUAAUAAAAAAAAAAAAACUAUAAAAUAAAGGAAUUCAACUUGCCGAUUUUCGCUUGGAACGUGAAAAUGCGUUGAAGAUCCCGGCUUAAAAGAAAACCAAAAUUCAACCGUCACCGCAUGGAUGACGAUCCGUUAACAUCCUUCGAUUCGCUGAUUGUGUUUCUAUUCCUUUUGCCAGAGGACGGUAGUGUAAAUGUUUUCAAGGAUCUUUUCGAACGUAGACACACGCACGAACACAGACGACCACACACACAAGGAAUCACCGACUAGUUGGAUUCGCUGGACACGACCUACUGACACGGAAUAAUAUUUUUUUCUUCCAGUACAGUCGGGAUGAAAAAACAAAAAAAAAAACAAAACAAAAAAAAUCAUUUCAACGACCGUCAGCGCGCAGGUAUUCUCUUACCUUCACAAGUUGGCGUUGCUAUGGUAGCGUGACCUAUACACACACAGUCCACAGUCACCCACGUACGCAUCUUAUUCGAUUCGCAACGAUGAUGAAAUGAAUCCAUCUAAUCAUCCAUCUCGUGUAAUGAUGGACCCAGUUUCACUAAUUGCUAAAUGGCACUAAAAGCAUCAUGGCAAAACUUCAUCGGACCAGGGGAGGGAUUAGACACUGAUUCCAAUCAGGCCAAAACAUGCGUUUCAUCCGUUCGCAGUAACCUUUCAAGUUAAUCAAUUCACCUGCUGCCAAAUCAAAUUUCACUUCAAUCAAAUUCUAGUCAGUUAAUGUAAUGAUAUGGUGAUAUUACCGGUAAAAAGGGGCUCGUAAGGACAGCCCGGACUGUUCCACAAGAUUUGGGCUAGUAUACCAAACAUGGCGCAAUCGACUUCAAUCGGCUGGUCCCCCAUCAAAAACGACUUCGUCCCUGAAAAUAAUGUCGUGAAUUAAUACGCUGCCUCAACGAUGGCGGUGGGCUUACGAAUACUUAAAAAAACAUACCUAGAAAGUUGGAAAUGGCCCGCAGAUCCUUCAACCCCAUUUCCAUGACUUCAGAUUGACUAUGACGGCCCAUGCCUUGAGCUGAAACUUGAGAUUUCACUCUGCUCACUACGAUGGGUCGUAAAUAGCGAACAGCGAAAUGCAAAUCGGUUUGAAUGAGCGGUAAAGAACUUCCUCCAUUAUAAAUCCAUCGCCACACCAGCAUGACCCAAUAAAGAUGGUCUUCCGCCAUGAUCUGAAAAGCUCUAGCGACCGCCUUGUCUUCGAUUGAUAAAUGAUGACUCAAAUCCUUGUGAAAUGUUUCGGAGAGCAGUUCAAGGCACAGCUGAGAGUCUCCCACCUUUUUUCCGUUCAGAGUAAUCCAAGGAGUUUUACCUUUGGGUCCCAUUGGCUCGUCAAAGUCGUUCUGCGUAUUAAUCGAGUUAGAAAAUGAAACAAUCAAAUGUAGUUGGAAUUUGUUUACCUGGUACGCAAUACCGGCAAUCCGGAGGUAAGUUUCCAAUUUGAGAGCAAAUGGAGAGAUACAUGGCGUUAAUUUGCCUCUCUUCAACUGGUGGAGGAUAACUACAUUGCUACCAUCUUUACCUUCUAAAGCAGCAGCAGCCAUUUUUUUUUUAACCACGCGAGAUAACGAACGAUAAGAGCACAAUCAAUGCACCUACGCUGUUUUACGCAAUUUUACUGUUCUAUUGCAUUUGAUCUACAUCUGAACAGCCUUCUCAUACAUUUAAAUUCUUUUUCAUAAAGAGGAAAUAGGAACAUCACAUUUAAAGCGAAGCGUGAAAGAGAAUAAUUAUUGCCUGAAUGAAUUAAAUGCGAGGAGGAUUCAGACAACGAUCCCAGUCAGGCCAGAACGUUUCUUUCAUACGUUCGCAAUAACUUUUCAAGUUGCUGAAUUCGCCUGUGUUCAAUCGGUAUUUCAGAACGAAAGGAAAGGUUAAGAUUAAAAUUAUAAAUAGGCAAGAGGUAUCAGGGGACUAUUUAAUAUUACCGUUCGCGAGUUGUUCAAAUGGUGAGCCGGGGCAGUUCCAAAGCAACUGACUGAGAAUUCCAAACACGGCACAGUCAGCUUCGAUCGCUUUGUCGCCCAUCAAAAACGGUUUGGUGCC